rnacentral:rRNA from 1 species
GCACGGAGUUAGCCGGAGCUUACAAACAGUACCGUCAUCGUAAGAGAUAUUAACCCUUACUUAUUCUUCCUGUUCUUGCGAAGUUUACAUCCCGAAGGAUUUCAUCCUUCACGCGGCGUUGCUGGGUCAGGCUUUCGCCCAUUGCCCAAAAUUCCCGACUGCUGCCUCCCGUAGGAGUCUGACCCGUAUGUCAGUGUCAGUGUGGCCGACCGCCCUCUCAGGCCGGCUACGGAUCAUAGCCUUGGUAAGCCGUUACCUUACCAACUAGCUAAUCCGCCGCAGGCUCCUCUUCAGACGCGAGGUCUUGCGAUCCCCCGCUUUAACAACUGUCACCAUUAGGUGCCGCUGCAUUAUGCGGUAUUAGCAACCGUUUCCGGUUGUUAUUCCCCAUCCAAAGGUAGAUUACCUACGUGUUACUCACCCGUGCGCCACUCUACUUGCCCCCCGAAGGGGGCUUUCGCGUUCGACUUGCAUGUCUGAGGCACGCCGCCAGCGUUGAUU